AGUUAAUGAACUUGUAAAAGUAUAUACCUUGAAAGUAUAAAAAAGAAACAAAGUUUUCUAUUAGCUU
rnacentral:tRNA from 1 species